ACGAAACGCUGGCGGCAUGCCCUAACACAUGCAAGUCGAACGCGAUCCGCAAGGGAUUGAGUUGGCGCACGGGGUGAGUAACACGUGGGUAAUCUGCCCUUUAGCUUGGGAUAACCCUUCGAAAGAAGGGCUAAUACCGAAGAGACCACAGGAGCAUCAGCCUCUAGGGGUUAAAGGUGGGGACCGCAAGGCCUAUCACUAAAGGAUGAGCCCGCGCACUAUCAGCUAGUUGGUGAGGUAAUGGCUCACCAAGGCUAUGACGGUUAGCUGGUCUGAGAGGAUGACCAGCCACACUGGAACUGAGACCAACGGUUCCAGACUCCUACGGGAGGCAGCAGUGGGGAAUCUUUGCACAAUGGGCGAAAAGCCUGAUGCAGCAAUGCCGCGUGAGUGGUGAAAGGCCCUUCGGGUUGUAAAUCUCUGUCGGCUGGGAAAAUGACUGCUCACUAACACUGAGCGGGAGAGAUGGUACCCAGCAAAGGGAAAGAGGCGGGCUAACUCUGUUGCCAGCAGCCGCGGUAAUACAGAGGCCCUCGAGCGUUGUUCGGGAUUACUGGGCGUAAAGGGAAUGUAGGGCCGGGGGGACGUAAGUCAGAUGUGAAAGCCCCAGGGCUUAAACCUGGGAAGUGCAUUUGAUACUGCGUUGCUAGAGUGUGUGAGAGGAAAGCGGAAUUCCUGGUGUAGGGGUGAAAUCCGUAGAUAUCAGGAGGAAUACCGAUGGCGAAGGCAGCUUUCUGGCGCAUAACUGACGCUGAGAUUCGAAAAGCGUGGGUAGCAAACAGGAUUAGAUACCCCUGGUAGUCCACGCCGUAAAACGAUGGGUGCUUGUUGUUGGAAGUGUUAACCCUUUCAGUAACGAAGCUAACGCGUUAAGCACCCCGCCUGGGGAGUACGGUCGCAAGAUUAAAACUCAAAGAAAUUGACGGGGACCCCGCACAAAGCAGUGGAGCAUGUGGUUUCAAUUCGACGCAACGCGAAGAACCUUAUCCUGGUCUUGACAUCCUCUGACAAACCCCUGAAAGGGGGCUUUUCCCGCAAGGGACAAGAGAGACAGGUUGCUGCAUGGCUGUCGUCAGCUCGUGUCGUGAGAUGUUGGGUUAAGUUCCCGUAAACGAGCGCAACCCACGCCUCUUGUUGCCAUCACUAAGUUGGGCACUCUAGAGGGACUGCUAGCGUUUAAGCUGGAGGAAGGUGUGGAUGACGUCAAGUCCUCAUGGCCCUUAUGACCAGGGCUACACACGUGCUACAAUGCAGGGUACAAAAGCGCUGCGAAACCGUGAGGUGGAGCCAAUCGCAAAAAAACCCUGCUCAGUUCGGAUUGAAGUCUGCAACUCGACUUCAUGAAGCUGGAAUUGCUAGUAAUCGCAGAUCAGCACGCUGCGGUGAAUUACGUUCCCGGGUCCUCGUAACACACCGCCCGUCACAACCACGAAAGUCGUUUGCACCAGAAGUCGCUGCGCUACACCGCAAGGAGGCAGGCGCCCAAGGGUGUUGUGCGAUGAUUGGGUGA
rnacentral:rRNA from 1 species